ACUCAAAACAAAAAAAAAAUAUUUCAAAAUAUUCAACAAUGAAAAAAAUCUUGAAAUCAGAAUAAAAAUUGUAUGCGCAUAUGGAAUGCACAUUCGAGGCAAAAUACGGCCUUAUAGAAAUACAUAUACUAUAUACAUCGUACAUAUAUAGUAUAUAUAUAUAUAUAUUUGCCUAUGUUAUACACACACAAAUCUAUAUAGAAAAUCUAAGUGCAAACCAAUUGUGAUUUAAGCUAAUGACAGCAACUAAAUAAAUAGCUAAAAACAACAACAGCAGCAGCAACAACAACAGCAACAAAUACCAACAAACAACAACCAACAACCAAAAAGAGUGUUUAAAAAUGCUAAAAAACUAGAAAUUUACAAAUCCCUGUGUACCGAGGAGGAGUGGAGUGUUGGCGCCUGUAAUUUGGAAAGCAAAAAUGACGCAGCCACGCACAAGGCAACAUCCACAGCGGCAACAACAACAACAGCAGCAACAGCAGCAACAACAGCAACAAAAUAUACAACAACAUAAACAAGAACAAAAACUGCAAUUAGAGGCAACAGCUACAAAGGGCCGGCAACGAUAUAGAGCGGCAGUAGAGGCAGUCGAAGUGGCAGCUGUAGAGGAAAAAUGAGGCAAAAA
rnacentral:sRNA from 1 species